GCUCUGCUGGCGCAAUGGUAGCGCGCCAGACUUCUAUCUUUGAAAUCUGGAGGGUAAGAUAACUCUCCGUCCACGCGUACCAGACCAGAAGGCUAACGGUGAAAAAGUUGUGGGUUCGAGUCCCACGCAGAGUG
rfam:Exophiala spinifera strain CBS 89968 unplaced genomic scaffold supercont1.4, whole genome shotgun sequence.